CAAGCGGAUCUCUUAAAGCNGUUCUCAGUUCGGACUGCAGUCUGCAACUCGACUGCACGAAGCUGGAAUCGCUAGUAAUUGCGGAUCAGCACGCCGCGGUGAAUACGUUCCCGGGCCUUGUACACACCGCCCGUCACACCAUGGAAGUCUGCAAUGCCCGAAGCCGGUGGCCUAACCACUUAUGUGGAAGGAGCCGUCUAAGGCAGGGCAGAUGACUGGGGUGAAGUCGUAACAAGGUAGC
rnacentral:rRNA from 1 species